rnacentral:rRNA from 1 species
AUUGAACGCUGGCGGAAUGCUUUACACAUGCAAGUCGAACGGCAGCACGGGGGCAGCCCUGGUGGCGAGUGGCGAACGGGUGAGUAAUACAUCGGAACGUGCCCGGUCGUGGGGGAUAACGUAGCGAAAGUUACGCUAAUACCGCAUACGAUCUGAGGAUGAAAGCGGGGGACCUUCGGGCCUCGCGCGAUCGGAGCGGCCGAUGUCAGAUUAGGUAGUUGGUGGGGUAAAGGCCUACCAAGCCGACGAUCUGUAGCUGGUCUGAGAGGACGACCAGCCAAAAUGGGACUGGGGAACGGCCCCGACUCCUACGGGAGGCAGGAGUGGGGAAAUUUGGACCAUGGGGGGAAGCCCGAUCCAGCCCUUCCGGGUGGAGGAAGAAGGCCUUCGGGUUGGAAAAUGGUUUUGUACGGGAAGAAAAGGCUCUGGCUAAUACCUGGGGCUCAUGACGGUACCGUAAGAAUAAGCACCGACUAACUACGUG